UAGGGAAUCUUCCGCAAUGGGCGAAAGCUUGACGGAGCAACGCCGCGUGAGUGAUGAAGGUCUUCGGAUCGUAAAACUCUGUUAUUAGGGAAGAACAAAUGUGUAAGUAACUAUGCACGUCUUGACGGUACCUAAUCAGAAAGCCACGGCUAACUACGUGCCAGCAGCCGCGGUAAUACGUAGGUGGCAAGCGUUAUCCGGAAUUAUUGGGCGUAAAGCGCGCGUAGGCGGUUUUUUAAGUCUGAUGUGAAAGCCCACGGCUCAACCGUGGAGGGUCAUUGGAACCUGGAAAACUUGAGUGCAGAAGAGGAAAGUGGAAUUCCAUGUGUAGCAGUGAAAUGCGCAGAGAUAUGGAGGAACACCAGUGGCGAAGGCGACUUUCUGGUCUGUAACUGACGCUGAUGUGCGAAAGCGUGGGGAUCAAACAGG
rnacentral:rRNA from 1 species